UAGUGGUAGCAAUAUUGCACAAUGGGCGCAAGCCUGAUGCAGCCAUGCCGCGUGUGUGAAGAAGGCCUUCGGGUUGUAAAGCACUUUCAGCGGGGAGGAAGGGUCACUAGUUAAUACCUAGUGGCAUUGACGUUACUCGCAGAAGAAGCACCGGCUAACUCCGUGCCAGCAGCCGCGGUAAUUAAAA
rnacentral:rRNA from 1 species